GAUGAAGAACGUAGCGAAAUGCGAUACGUAAUGUGAAUUGCAAAUUCAGUGAAUCAUCGAGUCUUUGAACGCACAUUGCGCCCCCUGGUAUUCCGGGGGGCAUGCCUGUCCGAGCGUCAUUGCUGCCCUCAAGCACGGCUUGUGUGUUGGGCCCCGUCCUCCGAUCCCGGGGGACGGGCCCGAAAGGCAGCGGCGGCACCGCGUCCGGUCCUCGAGCGUAUGGGGCUUUGUCACCCGCUCUGUAGGCCCGGCCGGCGCUUGCCGAUCAACCCAAAUUUUUAUCCAGGUUGACCUCGGAUCAGGUAGGGAUACCCGCUGGACUUAAGCAUAUCAAUAAGCGGGA
rnacentral:misc_RNA from 1 species